GCAGUGGUGGUUCAGGGAUAGAAUUCUUACUUUUCAUGCAGAAAACUGGGUUCAAUUCUCAGCCAAUGCA
rnacentral:tRNA from 1 species